AAUUUUCAGAACUUUUGAGAAGAUUUUAAGGCAGUUGGCAAGGAGAAAGAAAAGAUGAUGGGUUCACGGGCCAAGGUUGUGUAUAGUCAACGGAUGGAUGGAGUUGAAUGGCCUUCGUGGGGUCCACUGGCAACUUGUGGUGGGCUUGCAAAGGACCCUCCCUGACCACACAGUAGAGUUCACGGGUGCAACAACCAGUGGCAUAAAAAAAUAUAACACAAAUGCAGACAAGUUUUUUUAAUAAAUAAAAUAAAAUCAACUCAUGUAAUUAUUAUUAUAUAAUAAAAAGACAGCCCCACCAAACCAAAGGUAAAAUGAGAAAACACAAAAAAGUGGAAGACAAAUCAAAAUCAUUUUGAAUGAGAACCACAGAGAAUUUUAAUCCACCCAAAAAGAUGGAAUAAGAUCUCUCGGGCUCUCUCGUCCACAUAAAAGAUUCAUUCCCCG
rnacentral:lncRNA from 1 species